UAGCUAAGGAUUUGCAUUCUC
rnacentral:siRNA from 1 species